AUUAUCCAUGAGUGAGCUGCCUGAAACUUCAUUGAGAACAGUGAUGAGUGCUUCAGAGUAGGAGGAACGGGAGGGAAAAGAACCAGGUUGUCUUCUGAUUGUCUCCUAGAAAUCCUACAGAUUCGGUGGAAUAGCUAUAGUCGUUUAAUUUGACUAAGGAGCAAAAAGAAGAACAGUGGAAAAUGCUGCUUUAAAGGAUUGACGGCCACAUGAGCACCGAUACCAUGAAAGACAGGAGAGGCCGAUGCUGGAGUUCCCGCACGGAUUGCAAGGUCUAUCAGAGCCAGACUCAGAAGUCAGGCAGAGAAGCCACAUAGAGCAGAGGACUGAAAGGGUUUACACUUGGGUUUUGGCAUCAAUCCGGAGGUCUUGCCAGAGAGGCCAGAAGAGCCAAAGGUCUGAGCCGGGAAGCAGAGCCUGCAGGUCUGACCAGAGAUUUCAUGGCAUCAGAGUCCAGAGGCCUGUUCAACCCAUGUCUACUCACAUCAAGUGAUGAAACAGAUUUCUUCCCAGACUGCUUUCCAUCUGGUUGUUUUGUAACCACAAACAAACUACGUUAGAAGUAAUUUUUUAAAAAAUCCAAACUGCUAUUUUCUAUGCUGUUUAAUACAGACUAGGGUAACCUCUGCUGCUCCGACUGGAUCCUCACUGACGGUGCCCCUCGCAUUGCCAUCCUCCUCCUCACCUCUGCUUCUGACCGGGGUCAUCGCUCACCUGUAUCUCUGUGCCAUGGUCUCCUGCCUCAUCUUCCUGCCUCCAGUCUUCUGUCCUUUAAAUUACCUUCCUCAAACCUGCCACGGUGAUGUGUCUGGAAUAUAAAUACGAUCUCACCACUGCCAGGCUUAAAUCCCUUCACGAUCCCAAGUACUUGCAGGAGAAGUUCCAGAUCUGCGCUGCCCGUAGGGUGCCUACUGCUACACGUGGCUCCUGGGCACUUGAUAUGUGGCUCGUCAGAACUGAGACGUGCAGAAGCGUAAGAUACUCAACAGAUUUUGAACAUUUGGUACAAAAACAAACAAAACCAACCUGUAUAUAAAAAUUUAUCCUCAGUCACUUUAAAUACUGAUUACAUGUUAACAUGAUAACAUUUUGAAUAUAUUGGGUUUAAUAAAACAGUCUUGAAAUUAA